rnacentral:rRNA from 1 species
UCCAGACUCCUACGGGAGGCAGCAGUGGGGGAUAUUGCACAAUGGGGGGAACCCUGAUGCAGCGACGCCGCGUGGGUGAAGGAGCGUUUCGGCGCGUAAAGCCCUAUCGGCAGGGAAGAAGGAGGACGGUACCUGACUAAGAAGCCCCGGCUAACUACGUGCCAGCAGCCGCGGUAAUACGUAGGGGGCAAGCGUUAUCCGGAUUUACUGGGUGUAAAGGGGGCGCAGACGGCAGCGCAAGCCAGGAGUGAAAGCCCGGGGCCCAACCCCGGGACUGCUCUUGGAACUGCGCGGCUGGAGUGCAGGAGGGGCAGGCGGAAUUCCUGGCGUAGCGGUGAAAUGCGUAGAUAUCAGGAGGAACACCGGUGGCGAAGGCGGCCUGCUGGACUGCGACUGACGUUGAGGCCCGAAAGCGUGGGGAGCAAACAGGAUUAGAUACCCGAGUA